UAGGGUGUUUCAAAGAUGACCGUAUUGUGUUCUGGACUUGGAUGUUUUCAACAUAUUUUAUGGAGAAAUGGGCCCCCCGACAAGAUGAUAUGCUCUUCUAUGUCCGUCGAAAACUGUCCUAUGUCAGUGGUGAUAGUACUGAGGGAAAAAAGCAGGUUGAAGUUGAAGUUUACCGGAGAGAUUCUAAAAAGCUUCCUGGCCUGGGAGACCCUGACAUUGACUGGGAAGAGAGUGUCUACUUGAACCUCAUUCUACAGAAGCUGGAUUAUGUGGUGACGUGUGCUGUGUGCACACGCUCUGAUGGAGGAGAUAUUCACAUUCACAAAAAGAAAUCUCAGCAAGUGUUUGCAUCUCCUAGCAAACACCCAAUGGACAGCAAAGGAGAGGAGUCAAAGAUCAGCUACCCCAACAUAUUCUUCAUGAUUGACAGUUUUGAAGAGGUUUUCAGUGACAUGACUGUGGGAGAAGGAGAAAUGGUCUGUGUGGAGCUGGUGGCCAGUGACAAAAGCAACACCUUCCAAGGGGUGAUUUUUCAGGGGUCCAUCCGCUAUGAAGCACUCAAGAAGGUCUAUGACAACAGGGUGAGUGUUGCAGCUAAGAUGGCUCAAAGAAUGUCUUUUGGCUUUUAUAAAUAUAACAACAUGGAGUUUGUCCGAAUGAAAGGGCCCCAAGGGAAAGGACAUGCAGAGAUGGCAGUGAGCAGAGUUUCUACUGGUGACACGUCACCGUAUGGGACGGAAGAAGAUUCAAAUCCAGAUUCCCCUGUGCACGAGAGAGUCACUUCUUUCAGCACGCCACCAACCCCAGAACGCAACAAUCGCCCGUCCUUUUUCUCCCCAUCCCUCAAGAGAAAAGUGCCCCGAAAUCGAAUUGCUGAGAUGAAAAAAUCCCACUCGGCAAAUGACAGCGAGGAGUUCUUCAGAGAUGAAGAUGGUGGAGACCUGCACAACGCGACAAACCUGCGGUCGCGGUCGUUGUCUGGAACGGGACGGUCUCUGGUGGGCUCGUGGCUGAAGCUGAACAGAACAGAUGAAAACUUUCUACUCUAUGCACACUUAACUUACAUCACUUUGCCAUUGCAUCGAAUUUUAACAGAUAUCCUGGAAGUGCGGCAGAAACCAAUUCUGAUGACAUAGCAGAGAGCGGGCACUGCCUUGGAGCCUUGUUGCCAAGUGCCUACCCACAGCGGUUUUCUGUGCUGACGCCACCAUCUAGUGGUCAGGAACCUAAACCUCCGCAGGAAAAAGGGAAGUCCAAGAAUACCAGCCGAUCAAAAAGUGCCUCUUUCUUCCUUCCUCUGCUGUCGUACACCCAAUGCACACUUGGCGGUACAUCGCUUGAGUGUUUCUGACUGGAAGAGGACUUUUCGAGCAAGAUUUAAAAAGAGAAGGGGCUGUGUUUAAAACAACUCAACGCUUUCUGGACAGUUUGUUACUGUGUUUACUUUAUAACUAAGAAACCAACGAUGUGUACAGAAUGUGUUAAACUUUAUAUUCUUUGAGAGAAACAACCCGAGAAUUUCAUAACGAUGUACUAACGAACGUCGUUCCGUAGGCUCUCACCCAUACACUCUCCUUGUCAGUUUGGCUUAAUAUGCGUGUGUGAGCGCGUGUCGGGGGGGAUUGAAGGGAUGGAAGAACAAUUUCCUACUUGAGGGAGGAAAAAGGAAAAAGAUGCUACAAAGAUACAUGGCCAUUUUGGUACGUGCAGCGGGUCAGGUCAGAGCUUAAAAAGAGGCUGAAAAUGUUCCCAUUUGUUCAUGUGUCAGUUUUAGGACAGGUGAACUCUGCUGACAGAUUUCCGUAUCUACCAAAGAACAGCAACGUUUUCAUCCUCAAGAACUGGCGAAGAAAACGAGCCAGUGAAAAGAAGGCUAAAAUGUGCUGCUAUAGUCAAGCCGAGGUUCAUAUCCCGUACUAAUGCUGCUUAUCUCUCUCUCUUACCUGAGUCCAUACCAGUUGGAGUCUAAAGUGGAAACACAGGAGGCCGUAACUGGACUCCAAAACCUGAAAACCUUACCAAUAACCGACAUCCUCCUGCGUGCACUGGACUUCAGAGCCAGGUUCCAUGGGAGUAGCUCCACUUCAGCAUAAAGGUAGACUAACUUUAUCAUUCAGCCCAACGUGGUUAACCCAGCAUGGUAAGGAGGUCUUUUUGGGUUGGUUUUUUUUUUUAAUUUGAGGCUAGGCCGGAAAGCAGUUACCUUGGGUGCCCGGGCUUCCUUCCUGAGCCAGGGGGGAGAGGUGAAGUCCUAAGUCAGCAGCUGAAGUGUCCUCUCAAGGAACUCACUAGGUAGCUUGGCUGAGAUCCCAAGGUAGUGUGCCUGGUGUCGGUGGGUACGAGCAUUCUGCUCGCUCUCCAGCUAGAAGACCAGUCCUACUCUGAAGCCUCUCAAGAUGUUCCAUAUUUCUGCACUUUCGCACUGCCAGGCUGAGCAAAUCAGUGCUUGGUUUCCCUUCAAAUAUUGAUUGGAGAGAGAAGGGAAGAGAGGGUUAAUAUUCAUACUACUAAUGACAAUUGAUACCUUUCAGUGGAACAGCCAGAGGAAUUACACAGGUGAAAAGGAAAUGUAUCCAGAGUGGAACCCAAGUGGUAGGUGCCUGAAUGCUGCUCAGUCAACAGUAAUUUUUAAUGUGUUUUUUCUUUUUCAUAUAAUGUAUUAUGUUUAGGUAGCUUAAUUUCAUGUGAUCUGAAAGACUGAGCAAAUCUUGCUGUGUAAGACUUCAGAGCAAACCAAGACUGAUUCUAAACUAGUACAUGGGUAUAAAGGUGAUGUUACAGAAAGUACAGCUCAGAUGCCACGUGCGAGAGGUGUCCUCUGCUUUGUUACCUGUACGUGGGUGGAUUAUGAUGUCUAUAGUUUUUGAAGGGCUGCAAUGUAAGUGUCCUGAAAAAAAAUCAACUGUUUUAUUGUAUCCUGCUAGUGGAUAUACUAUAGGUAUGUUGAAGACUCACCUUUUUUUAAUAGCAAAGGGCUACAGGUAUGCCCAGAUGGACAUCCAUAGAAAACACAGGUCAAAAAGUCGACUGAAUGUUCAAAGUGCUUUUUGGAAACAAGUAGAUGUGCCAUAUUUUCAGUUAUUUCUUCUCUAAACAACUGACUUCAGGCUUCUUAUGUAUAGCCCCUGGUUCCCACUUCUUGUUAUCAAAUGUGGAAAACAAAUACUCGGUUUUGUUUUGCUUUCAAACAAACCCUUAAAAUCAUAAUUUAUUGUCCUUGUGUAGACAGAUUGACAGGGAAGAAGAUCAGAGUUUUGCUGGGGCCCAGGUGGCACCGCUGGGCCCUUAACAUGCUAUUGUGCUAUACCAAAAAAGAAAAGGGAAUGUUAACUGGAACCUCUCACCUUUUUAAUUUGGAGGGGUUUUUAAUUCUGUAGGUCCUAAGCAAGUAAAUGAUUUUGAGCCUCUGUUGGCCAUUGAAAUAAUUGCUGAGGAAUGAACUGGCAUGUCCUGCAUGCUGUAAAGGCUGUACGGUUGUCUGUGUCUUAACUGUUGGAGCACGUGGUUUUCAUUAGUUCUGUUGCUUGAGAAAGCAGUACAGUUAACAAAUUUGGGAAGCUUUGCAGGGCACUUUGAUUUAUUUACAGAAUCCCAUCAUACCUCACUACUCAGUUAACUUGUUCCAUCCUUCUGCCCACUCCCUCCCUCUGGAGAUCGAUGCUUGGCCGCUUGAACUGUCCGUAGAUGAUGUAUAUUCAUAGAUGACAAAUGCAAAGAUAAAAGUCUUUUCACCCUUAGCAGGUUUUUCACUGCUGUCAGUUUAACAGGUAAAAAGCCUUUGUUUUUUAAGAAAGCUCUUAAAUCAAUUAUUUUGAAUUAAGCAGAUUAUUGCUCUGCCUUAGAGACCACCGUGUAUGUGAAGUCGCGUUCUCUUCUUGCUGGCCAGCACAGGGUGGGUUCCAAGUCUCCAUGUUAAAAAAAAAAAAAAAGCCUUUUUUAGAAACACCACAAAUCUUUCAGCUGUCUUGGCUAAUCCAGUGUGUGGGGGUUCAUGUUCCUUCUCUUUUUAUUCUCUUGGUCUUCAUUGUUUACAAGGCUUGAGCAUGGUGGGCUCUGGAUUGCUGUUACUCAGUUUUCCAUUUUUGGGCACGGUGUGCUUUCCUGAAGAUUUUCAUACUAAAAUGGUUUUCCCAAAGUAUAUUCUUACACCAAGUUUUAAUUUCAACAAUGAAAUCCUUAGCUCUGCAGACAGAUUUCUUCCAGCAGACCUUCAUGUGCAGAAUCCCAUGUGGUCACUGAGGUUCUGUGUAGAUGUGAAGUCCACGUAAAUCAUCUACGCUUUCAGGCUAUUGACCUACUUCUUGCCAAUCAUUAAUUUUUCCCUUUACAGAUAAUUGCUUGUCCUGUAUUUUGUAGUCUAAAGCUUCCCCUUACUAAAGAUAGAUAUAAGAUAAAAUCUUCAGAAGUGCCUAAGCCCUGUUGUUAUUCAGUGGGGUUUAAGAACAAAUUUUUAUUUAGGAAAUAAAGAAAGUAGUCUUAAAAUUCUAUAUGUGUUGUGUGUAGCAGCAUCAAGAAACGACAAGUUUUUAGUUCUUCUACAGACUUGCCCUUCGUGCUUGAAAGACUCUCAUGGUCUCCAAAGGUCGUGGCUGAAAGUUCUGGAAAAUGGAUUUCUUUCUUGUGAUCCCAGCAGUCAGAUAUCUGCGAAUGCCUUAUCUCGUUUUGUGAGGUAUGACUGAAAGUGUGUGGUGCUAGUGUGUAGAAGUUCUGUGUCAAAAAUAGGUGCGGUAGAAUCCAGUUAAAGGCAUUGUGAAAUAAGUAGCUUUUACACCAAACCUUAAUCGAAAGAGUAUUUUACACCAGAAUGUAGCUGUUGGGAUGCUUGGUCAAGAUAAUACAAAGCUGCAAGCAGGUUACAAUGUUGAACGUUCUCUGUGUAAAUAUAUAAAUAUUCUCAGCCUAAUUUUAUCAGACUAUCACUUGUUGCAUGGUUGGGGUUUUGGUUUUUUUUGCCUCAUUGAUCAUCAGUGUCGAUUAAAAGAUGAUGGGUUGAAAGUCAUGCUGGGGCAGUACUGAGCCCUUUGAACAAAGAGCAAGGAGAACCUUUGUGCACCAAAAAUGGAGUUGACUUUGCGAAUGGCCGCAGUGCAGAACGGUGUUGGACCCUGCAGCCAAUAAACAGACCUCUUAAAUGACCGUGAA